ensembl:rRNA 5S_rRNA 5S ribosomal RNA
GUCUAAGGCCAUACCAUUCUGAUCCAUGAAGAUAAGCAGGAUCUGGCCUGGCAAGUACUUGAAUGGGAGACCACCUGGGAAUACUGAGAGCUGUCGGAU